GGAGGUUCUCUGGUGAUGCACCCCAGAAUUGGGCUCCCUCCUCUCUGGUUCCGGGUGUGUCACCUGAGAACCACA
rfam:Myotis lucifugus cont2.31201, whole genome shotgun sequence.